CAGAAAACCGACUGAGACAAGAGUUUGCAUGUGUUCCACGGACCGGAGGUCUUUCGCGAAUUACUGCCUCGAUUUGCGACGGGAGAGAUGAUUGUGCAGAUUCUAGUGAUGAACAAAAAUGCCACGCUAAACGCGGUUGUCCAAAAGGUUUAGGGAACAACCGCUCACCGGAUGAAAAAUGCGGUUUCAAAUGUCCUAACGAACCGAAAUGGUCAACAAGAUGUGACGGAAUUCCUCUCUGCACCGAAUUCCGAUAUGAAGAA